rnacentral:rRNA from 1 species
CUUUGUUAAGUUGUGUAGGGCGCAUGGUGGAUGCCUUGGCAUCAGGAACCGAUGAAGGACGUGUGAGGCCGCGAAAGGCCUGGGGGAGUUGUCAACAGAGCUGUGAUCCCAGGAUGUCCGAAUGGGGAAACCCAGCACCAGUCAUGUGGUGUUACCCACGCCUGAAUGUAUAGGGCGUGUGGAGGGAACGCGGGGAAGUGAAACAUCUCAGUACCCGUAGGAAGAGAAAACAACCGUGAUUCUGUGAGUAGUGGCGAGCGAAAGCGGAUGAGGCUAAACCGUGGGCGUGUGAUACCCGGCAGGGGUUGCGUUCGCGGGGUUGUGGGAGCAUUCUUCGUUCAUCUGCCGGUGGACGGGACAGUAAGAAAGUGUCGUGUUAGGUGAAUGCGUUGGAAAGCGUGACCGUAGACGGUGAUAGUCCGGUAACCGAAAACAUGGCGCCUGUCUUGAGUGUUUCCCGAGUAGCAGCGGACUCGUGGAAUCUGCUGUGAAUCUGCCAGGACCACCUGGUAAGCCUAAAUAUUCCCUGAUGACCGAUAGCGGACUAGUACCGUGAGGGAAAGGUGAAAAGUACCCCGGGAGGGGAGUGAAAUAGUACCUGAAACCAUGCGCUUGCAAUCCGUCAGAGCCUAUGCAUCGGUUUACCGGUGGUGGGUGAUGGCGUGCCUUUUGAAGAAUGAGCCUGCGAGUUAGUGGUACGUGGCAAGGUUAACCCGUGUGGGGAAGCCGUAGCGAAAGCGAGUCUGAAUAGGGCGUUUUUAGUCGCGUGCUCUAGACCCGAAGCGGAGUGAUCUACCCAUGUCCAGGGUGAAGCGGCUGUAAGAGGUCGUGGAGGCCCGAACCCACCAGCGUUGAAAAGCUGGGGGAUGAGGUGUGGGUAGGGGUGAAAGGCCAAUCAAACUCCGUGAUAGCUGGUUCUCCCCGAAAUGCAUUUAGGUGCAGCGUUGCGUGUUUCUUGCCGGAGGUAGAGCACUGAUUGGUCUAGGGGGCCGACAAGCUUACCGAAAUCAGUCAAACUCCGAAUGCCGGUAAGUGGAAAGCGCAGCAGUGAGACUGCGGGGGAUAAGCUUCGUAGUCGAGAGGGAAACAGCCCAGAUCACCAGCUAAGGCCCCUAAGCGUGUACUGAGUGGAAAAGGAUGUGGGAUCGCGUAGACAACCAGGAGGUUGGCUUAGAAGCAGCCACCCUUGAAAGAGUGCGUAAUAGCUCACUGGUCAAGUAGUUCCGCGCCGACAAUGUAGCGGGGCUUAAGUACACCGCCGAAGCUGUGGCAUUCACACGUGUACUCGGCAUCGUCCUACGGGAUGGUGUCCAGGUGUGUGGAUGGGUAGGGGAGCGUCCUGCCGGCAGAGAAGCCGCCGUGUGAACGAGUGGUGGAGCCGACGGGAGUGAGAAUGCAGGCAUGAGUAGCGAAAGCAGGGUGAGAAACCCUGCCGCCGGAUGACUAAGGGUUCCAGGGGCAGGCUAAUCCGCCCUGGGUAAGUCGGGACCUAAGGCGAGGCCGAAAGGCGUAGUCGAUGGACAACGGGUUGAUAUUCCCGUACCCGCGUAGAUGCGACCAUGACGAGCCCGUGUUGUGCUAACCACCCAAACUCGACCGACUGUGCCCUUCGGGGUGUAGCGGGACGGGGGCGGCUGGGACCCCGCAUGGUAGUAGUCAAGCGAUGGGGUGACGCAGGAGGGUAGCUGAUCCCGGUGACUGGUAGUGCCGGGCCAAGCGUGUAGCCCGCCGUAUAGGUAAAUCCGUACGGCAUGAAGGGUGAGACGUGACGGGUAGCCUGAUUAAAGGUGUAAGUCAGUGAUCCCAUGCUGCCGAGAAAAGCCUCUAGCGAUGUAUCGAGCGGCCCGUACCCUAAACCGACACAGGUAGUCAGGUAGAGAAUACUAAGGCGAUCGGGUGAACUGUGGUUAAGGAACUCGGCAAAUUACCCCCGUAACUUCGGGAGAAGGGGGACCCCUGCUGGUGACCGGACGUGCUCCGUGAGCUGGCGGUGGUCGCAGUGACCAGGGGGAAGCGACUGUUUAUUAAAAACACAGGUCCAUGCGAAGAAGUAAUUCGAUGUAUAUGGACUGACGCCUGCCCGGUGCUGGAACGUUAAGGGGACCGGUUAACCACUUUGGUGGUGAAGCUGAGAACUUAAGCGCCAGUAAACGGCGGUGGUAACUAUAACCAUCCUAAGGUAGCGAAAUUCCUUGUCGGGUAAGUUCCGACCUGCACGAAUGGCGUAACGACUUCCCCACUGUCUCAACCACAGGCCCGGCGAAAUUGCAUUACGAGUAAAGAUGCUCGUUACGCGCGGCAGGACGGAAAGACCCCGGGACCUUUACUAUAGCUUGGUAUUGGUGCUUGGAACAGUUUGUGUAGGAUAGGUGGGAGCCGGUGAACCAGGGACGCUAGUUUCUGGGGAGGCAUUGUUGAAAUACCACUCUGAUUGUUCUGGGUUCCUAACCUCGGACCGUGAUCCGGUUCAGGGACAGUGCCUGGUGGGUAGUUUAACUGGGGCGGUUGCCUCCCAAAAAGUAACGGAGGCGCCCAAAGGUUUCCUCAGCCUGGUUGGCAAUCAGGUGUCGAGUGCAAGUGCACAAGGAAGCUUAACUGUGAGACUGACGGGUCAAGCAGAUGCGAAAGCAGGGACUAGUGAUCCGGCACAUGCUUGUGGAAGCGGUGUCGCUCAACGGAUAAAAGGUACCCCGGGGAUAACAGGCUGAUCUUCCCCAAGAGUCCAUAUCGACGGGAUGGUUUGGCACCUCGAUGUCGGCUCGUCGCAUCCUGGGGCCGGAGCAGGUCCCAAGGGUUGGGCUGUUCGCCCAUUAAAGCGGCACGCGAGCUGGGUUUAGAACGUCGUGAGACAGUUCGGUCCCUAUCCGCCGCGCGCGUAGGAAACUUGAGAAGGGCUGUCCCUAGUACGAGAGGACCGGGACGGACGAACCUCUGGUGUGCCAGUUGUCCCGCCAGGGGCACGGCUGGUUAGCUACGUUCGGAAGAGAUAACCGCUGAAAGCAUCUAAGCGGGAAACUCGCUUCAAGAUAAGGUUUCCAACACCCUCGGGUGUGAAGGCCCCCAGCUAGACUACUGGGUUGAUAGGCCAGAAAUGUAAGCACAGCAAUGUGUUCAGUUGACUGGUACUAACAGGCCGAUCACUUAACA